GAUGAACGCUGGCGGCGUGCCUAAUACAUGCAAGUCGAGCGAAUGGAUUAAGAGCUUGCUCUUAUGAAGUUAGCGGCGGACGGGUGAGUAACACGUGGGUAACCUGCCCAUAAGACUGGGAUAACUCCGGGAAACCGGGGCUAAUACCGGAUAACAUUUUGAACCGCAUGGUUCGAAAUUGAAAGGCGGCUUCGGCUGUCACUUAUGGAUGGACCCGCGUCGCAUUAGCUAGUUGGUGGGGUAACGGCUCACCAAGGCAACGAUGCGUAGCCGACCUGGGAGGGUGACCGGCCACACUGGGACUGGGACACGGCCCAGAGUCCUACGGGAGGCAGCAGUAGGGAAUCUUCCGCAAUGGACGAAAGUCUGACGGAGCAACGCCGCGUGAGUGAUGAAGGCUUUCGGGUCGUAAAACUCUGUUGUUAGGGAAGAACAAGUGCUAGUUGAAUAAGCUGGCACCUUGACGGUACCUAACCAGAAAGCCACGGCUAACUACGUGCCAGCCGCCGCCGUAA
rnacentral:rRNA from 1 species